AUUAGCCAGUUGAUUAGCUUGCAUAGUAUUUCUGAAUAAGCGUGAAUUUCAUUCAAAAGAGAAGGCGUGAUAUUUGUCGACGAAGGAUUGAGGCCCAAUCUUAUCAUCUUUAGUUUCAUUCGUCAUAUCUAUGACCAUCUGGACUUCACACUGAAUACUUGUUGACUCUUUUGUAAUCUUUUUUAUGAACGUAAAAAUAUUCGUGAUGAAGUUGAUUGAAGGCUAUCAAAUCAUGAUUAUAAUAAUCUAUAUUUAUGAUCGACCGUCCCUAGAGCAAGUGGCAAAGGGCUUGGUGGUUGGUACCCGAGGUUCAAAGUUUGAAUCCUAGUUGAUUCACAUUUCCAGCUAAGUUUUUUCUAAAUGAAAUAAACGAAGCGAGUAGCGUACUACCUAUCUUUCUAAAAAAAAAAAGAAAAAUUAUAUUAU
rnacentral:lncRNA from 1 species